rnacentral:rRNA from 1 species
CACAUGCAGUCGAACGGUAACAGGAAGCAGCUUGCUUCUUUGCUGACGAGUGGCGGACGGGUGAGUAAUGUCUGGGAACUGCCUGAUGGAGGGGGAUAACUACUGGAAACGGUAGCUAAUACCGCAUAAUGUCGCAAGACCAAAGAGGGGGACCUUCGGGCCUCUUGCCAUCGGAUGUGCCCAGAUGGGAUUAGCUAGUAGGUGGGGUAACGGCUCACCUAGGCGACGAUCCCUAGCUGGUCUGAGAGGAUGACCAGCCACACUGGAACUGAGACACGGUCCAGACUCCUACGGGAGGCAGCAGUGGGGAAUAUUGCACAAUGGGCGCAAGCCUGAUGCAGCCAUGCCGCGUGUAUGAAGAAGGCCUUCGGGUUGUAAAGUACUUUCAGCGGGGAGGAAGGGAGUAAAGUUAAUACCUUUGCUCAUUGACGUUACCCGCAGAAGAGCACCGGCUAACUCCGUGCCAGCAGCCGCGGUAAUACGGAGGGUGCAAGCGUUAAUCGGAAUUACUGGGCGUAAAGCGCACGCAGGCGGUUUGUUAAGUCAGAUGUGAAUCCCCGGGCUCAACCUGGAACUGCA